AAUGGCAUAGUUUAAGUGAGAUGGUCGCUCUGCAAGUGGCCGGUGAAGGUGUUUUCUGCCGUUA
rnacentral:tRNA from 1 species